GAGUGGACGCAUCACUGGUGUUCGGGUUGUCAUGCCAAUGGCAUUGCCCGGUAGCUACAUGCGGAAGAGAUAAGUGCUGAAAGCAUCUAAGCACGAAACUUGCCCCGAGAUGAGUUCUCCCUGAGACCCAGAGUCUCCUGAAGGAACGUUAAAGACGAUGACGUUGAUAGGCCGGGUGUGUAAGCGCAGCGAUGCGUUGAGCUAACCGGUACUAAUGAACCGUGAGGCUUAACCUUACAACGCCGAAG
rnacentral:rRNA from 1 species